ACGCUGGCGGCGUGCCUAACACAUGCAAGUCGAGCGGUAACAGGUGCAGCAAUACAUGCUGACGAGCGGCGAACGGGUGAGUAAUGUUUCGGAAUCUGCCCAAUGGUGGGGAAUAACCAGCCGAAAGGUUGGCUAAUACCGCAUAAGCCCUACGGGGGAAAGCGGGGGAUCGCAAGACCUCGCGCCGAUGGAUGAGCCGAAACCGGAUUAGCUAGUUGGUAGGGUAACGGCCUACCAAGGCGACGAUCCGUAGCUGGUCUGAGAGGACGACCAGCCACACUGGGACUGAGACACGGCCCAGACUCCUACGGGAGGCAGCAGUGGGGAAUAUUGGACAAUGGGGGAAACCCUGAUCCAGCGACGCCGCGUGUGUGAAGAAGGCCUGCGGGUUGUAAAGCACUUUUAGUGGGGAUGAAAAGCUCAGGGCUAAUACCGCUGAGUCUUGACCUAACCCAAAGAAAAAGCACCGGCUAACUCUGUGCCAGCAGCCGCGGUAAUACAGAGGGUG
rnacentral:rRNA from 1 species